rnacentral:rRNA from 1 species
CCUACGGGUGGCAGCAGUGAGGAAUAUUGGUCAAUGGACGAGAGGCUGAACCAGCCAAGUCGCGUGAAGGAUGACUGCCCUAUGGGUUGUAAACUUCUUUUAUCAAGGAAUAAAACGAGGCACGUGUCCCUUUUUGCAUGUACUUGAUGAAUAAGGAUCGGCUAACUCCGUGCCAGCAGCCGCGGUAAUACGGAGGAUUCGAGCGUUAUCCGGAUUUAUUGGGUUUAAAGGGAGCGUAGAUGGGUUGUUAAGUCAGUGGUGAAAGUUUGCGGCUCAACCGUAAAAUUGCAAUUGAUACUGGCAGUCUUGAGUACAGUUGAGGUACGCGGAAUUCGUGGUGUAGCGGUGAAAUGCUUAGAUAUCACGAAGAACCCCGAUUGCGAAGGCAGCUUACUAACCUGUGACUGACAUUGAUGCUCGAAAGUGUGGGUAUCAAACAGGAUUAGAUACCCCAGUAGUC